GUCUAAGUACAUACCUUAAAACGGUGAAACCGUGAAUGGCUCAUUAAAUCAGCUAUGGUUCCUUAGAUCAUAAACGCUACAUGGAUAACUGUAGUAAUUCUAGAGCUAAUACAUGCCUUGAAUUCCUGACCCACAAGGGGACGGGUGCAUCUAUUAGAACAGAAUCAACCGGGUGCGGCUUCGGCUGUGCCUGUUACAUUCUGUGAUGACUCUGGAUAACUUUACUGAUUGCAGUCGGCCUUGUGUCGGCGACGGAUCUUUCAAAUAUCGGGGAG
rnacentral:ncRNA from 1 species